GACGAACGCUGGCGGCGUGCUUAACACAUGCCAGUCGAACGGAAAGGCCUGCUUUCCCUUGUGGAUUGCGGGUACUCGAGUGGCGAACGGGUGAGUAACACGUGAGUGAUCUGCCCCCAACUUGGGUAUAAGCCUGGGAAACUGGGUCUAAUUCCCGAUAGGACUGCAGGGUGGUGCCUGUGGUGGAAAACGAUUUUCUAGUGGUUGGGGAUGAGCUCGCGGCCUAUCAGCUUGUUGGUGGGGUAAUGGCCUACCAAGGCGGCGACGGGUAGCCGGCCUGAGAGGGUGGACGGCCACAUUGGGACUGAGAUACGGCCCAGACUCCUACGGGAGGCAGCAGUGGGGAAUAUUGCACAAUGGGCGGAAGCCUGAUGCAGCGACGCCGCGUGGGGGAUGACGGCCUUCGGGUUGUAAACUCCUUUCGACCGCGAGGAAGCCGCCUGGUUGGAAGGGUGGUGACGGUAGUGGUAGAAGAAGCACCGGCUAACUACGUG
rnacentral:rRNA from 1 species